rnacentral:rRNA from 1 species
AGUGAACGCUGGCGGUAGGCCUAACACAUGCAAGUCGAACGGCAGCACAGGAGAGCUUGCUCUCUUGGUGGCGAGUGGCGGACGGGUGAGGAAUACAUCGGAAUCUACUUUUUCGUGGGGGAGAACGUAGGGAAACUUACGCUAAUACCGCAUACGACUUACGGGUGAAAGCAGGGGCUCUUCGGACCUUGCGCGAUUGCAUGAGCCGAUGUCGGAUUAGCUAUUUGGCGGGGUAAAGGCCCACCAAGGCGACGAUCCGUAGAUGGUCUGAGAGGAUGAUCAGACACACUGGAACUGAGACACGGUCCAGACUCCUACGGGAGGCGGCAGUGGGGAAUAUUGGACAAUGGGCGCAAGCCUGAUCCAGCCAUACCGCGUGGGUGAAGAAGGCCUUCGGGUUGUAAAGCCCUUUUGUUGGGAAAGAAAUCCAGCUGGCUAAUACCCGGUUGGGAUGACGGUACCCAAAGAAUAAGCACCGGCUAACUUCGUGCCAGCAGCCGCCGUAA